rnacentral:rRNA from 1 species
GACGAACGCUGGCGGCGUGCUUAACACAUGCCAGUCGAACGGAAAGGCCCUGCUUUUGUGGGGUGCUCGAGUGGCGAACGGGUGAGUAACACGUGAGUAACCUGCCCUUGACUUUGGGAUAACUUCAGGAAACUGGGGCUAAUACCGGAUAGGAGCUCCUGCUGCAUGGUGGAGGUUGGAAAGUUUCGGCGGUUGGGGAUGGACUCGCGGCUUAUCAGCUUGUUGGUGGGGUAGUGGCUUACCAAGGCUUUGACGGGUAGCCGGCCUGAGAGGGUGACCGGCCACAUUGGGACUGAGAUACGGCCCAGACUCCUACGGGAGGCAGCAGUGAGGAAUAUUGCACAAUGGGCGGAAGCCUGAUGCAGCAACGCCGCGUGCGGGAUGACGGCCUUCGGGUUGUAAACCGCUUUCGCCUGUGACGAAGCGUGAGUGACGGUAAUGGGUAAAGAAGCACCGGCUAACUACGUG